UCUAGAGCCAAACACACUCCUAUGUUAAACUCCAUUUAGGAUAUCUAAACCCAACUCCAAACUUGAUGGUAGGUGUAACCAAACACCCCAUUUCAACACAAAAAAAAAAAUUAGAAGUGCAGAUUUUUUUUCUUCAUUCUUCAUUCUCUAACUUCUCUCUACUUUCUCUCUCAUUUUCCUUUACUUUCUUGGAGGCCAAACACCACACCUUUGCUCCACCCUUACACCACCACCUUGACACACCAUCUCCACCACCUCCGGCCACCUUAUCUCGCCGGAAAAUGGGUCCGGUCGGCACUCCUUGAAUCCAUCCGAAAAUAACACAAUAGAAGCACAAACUCUAGAUUUUUCUUAAUCUUUUGAAGAAUCAAAGCAUGGGAUUUAUUUUCUUGAUGGAUUAGAGGCUUGUACUUGGAUUGGAGGAAGGCAUCUCUCCACCUCUUGGAAAUUAAUUUGUAGAGUUUCAAAUCUACACUUUUGCUAUUUUUGGAGAUUCAUAGACUUUUGUGUGGCUCGCCUCAACUUGGAAGACUAGAAUUUUUUUUUUGAAGGAUCACAGGUGGGCAUCUUGUGGUUGAGGUUUUGCUUAGGGUCAUUCUAGGAUGUAAGCUUACCCUUUUUUUUUAUGAAGGAGGUUGAUUGUAAAAAUUGCUUAUGAAGUUGGAUGUAUUGAUGGAUUCGUGAUUAGUAUGUAUUAUAUUUUUUUUGGGAGGAAAUGCUUGGGAACUAUCUUGUAGCAUGAUAAUAUUUUUUUGUCUUUGAAUAGAUCAUCUCAUAUAUGUUAGGCAAUUGAAAGGUGCUAUAGCGUUUGAGGUGCACCCUCUUGGCAGGGUUUUGCCUUGCCAAGAUUGGGUCGUUACACAUCUGAAUA